UCACAUUCUGACAAUCUUGAAGACACACUGAUCUUAUCUUGAGGUCUAUCUUAAGUGAACUGUCAGUCUACAGUUUGAGCUCCCUGAGGAGUAUACAACCCAAGCUGCCCAAGUUAACAGUCACACUACCAUCUCAUCCUCCUGGAUACCCAUUCUGUAGUGCGUCAUAUUUCAACAGUUACUUGUCUGAGGUAACACCACAUGUGCUGCAGAGAGGGGCAGGAGCAAACACCUAGAAACCCUCAGGAGUCAAGUUGCUGAAACCAGGGACCCAUCCACCUACUUUCCACCUCAUUGGUGAGCUGAACUGUUCACACAGGACCACCUAUUGUUUAACAGUACACGCAGUUACAUGUUUAUCACCAGUUUUAUCAGUUUCAACAAUUCUGAUGAAUGAUUUGUAUAUAAAGUGAUCUCUACAAUCAAA